rnacentral:rRNA from 1 species
AUUGAACGCUGGCGGCAGGCCUAACACAUGCAAGUCGAGCGAGCGGCGGACGGGUGAGUAAUGUAUGGGGACUGCCCGAUAGAGGGGGAUAACUACUGGAAACGGUGGCUAAUACCGCAUACUAUCGGAUAACCCAUAUGGGAUUAGCUAGUAGGUGGGGUAAAGGCUCACCUAGGCGACGAUCUCUAGCUGGUCUGAGAGGAUGAUCAGCCACACUGGGACGGAGACACGGCCCAGACGCCAAGGGAGGCAGCAGUGGGGAAUAUUGCACAAUGGGCGCAAGCCUGAGGCAGCCAUGCCGCGUGAAUGAAGAGGGCCGUAGGGUUGUAAACCUCUGUCGCUAGCGAACGGGUAGGUGGAGAAGAAGCGCCGGCUAACUACGUGCCAGCAGACGCGGUAAUAC